rnacentral:lncRNA from 1 species
GGAUAAGUGGGAUAGGAAUGACUUCUGCUGCUCAUAAAAGUGGAAGUGUUUCCCUUUUUGUCUUUUUGAUCUACUUGAAAGUCACUGCUUUGCAAUGCAGGAGAUGGACAACAGCAGCAGGUGUGCUUUUUGAUGGCUUUUUGUUAGGGGGCAUGAUGUGUGUCCUGUGAUUGUAUUUCUCAUUGGGUGGUUCCAAGACUUGCCUCAUCACAGCAAAAAAGUGCUUUUAAAAAUUUGCUUUUUUAAAAAUUAAAAAGUUCAAGAAAAUACUUUAAAAAGAAUAGAGCGAUCUUACAUAGUUCAAACCCAUACUUACAAAAGAACAAGGCCAGGCCAUCUAUAAUUUUAUGUAGGUGAAUCAUAUAAUCAAGCAGGUAUGCCCUGCUCUAAUCUUCCUUCACUGACAAAGAUAAAUUAAUCAGGUUAGCAACUUUUGCCAAUUAUCCACUGUGAUCUGUAGAUGUGACCCUAGACUAGUCUUCAAUUAAGGGGAAGGGGUAGGAAUGGAAGGUAAAGAUUAGAAGGAUGUAAUAGAAUAAAGGCUGGGCUGAUGUGGGCUCAUACAAGAAGGCUCAACAGAAGGAAAAGAGCUUGAACUCAUAAACAUGCUGCAGAAGGGAGCAGAGGCUGCUCGGUUAAAGACACAGGUCCUGUAUCUUUCCUUAUCUUGGUGCCUUAGUGGUGUUGGAAGAUACCUUUGAAAGCUCAUUUCAAUUAUUUGAAGUUGUAGGAGCUUGUGAGUGAUGACUUGCAAAACGACAGGGAAGCCCAUUAGGAGGAAGUCUGAGCUUCCAGCCCAUCUGAAGACCAUCACUAGAUACCUGUGACAAAGUGAGAAAGCAGCUAUUUGCAGUCAGAAAAAGAUCCUUCAUUCAGGAAUUGAAAUGACCAGCAACUUGAUCUAAAACUUCCCAUCCUCAAGUACGGCACACUCCUGCCAUUGUGGUGCCAUCCGCUGUGACACUCUUACAGCAGGGUGACUGUGGGAGUGACUGGAUCUUCAACCUUCAGCCCCCAAAACUGUGAGCUAAAUAAACCCCUUCUCCUCAUAAAGUACCCAACCUCAGGUAUUUUUUUUUUUAAAGCAACAUAAAAUGGGCUAAUGGAGCAAUAUGAGGACAUUGGUUUACAAGCACUUAGGAAUACCUUAUAUGAAAGAGCUGCAGCCUUCAGUUUGUCUUUACAAAGGAUGGAUAUGUCUUUUCAAUUAACAGCUUGAAAAAGUCUGGAAUUAUUUCUUACCUCACAGCUGUCCUGUAAAGUAAUUUCCUUAUUUCUCUCAAGUUGAAAGAAAUGUCUACUGCUUCCUAUUAACUAGCUCAGGGAUUUUCAAAUUAGGUGAAUUUCACAAUUUGUGUGUUAACUGGGGGGAUCGGAGGUGGACUUCGUCAAUUUCCUAUGCCUAGAUUCCCCUAAGUCCACAGAAUCAGAAUUUUUAGCUGUGAUGUCCAAAUUAAGUCAGUUGAAAACCACUCCAUGUGCUUCUGAUGCAUAUCAAACUUGACAUCCAUGGGACCACAUUCUCUUUGACUGAUAAAAAUGUUCAAGCUUAGUAGCUAGGAAGAGCUUUCUGUAGGUAGUAUUAUCAUUUAAAAUGAACAGAUUUAACUUUUACAAAUGGACAUCCUUUUAAGAGGUUUGGGGCCGGUGGAUUUGAGGGGAGCUCUUAGAAUAUGUGUUGGGCUACCCUUACCUCUUCAUUGUCUGCAUUUCCCCCUCUGCCAUGGCCUGCUUGGUUUCCCAGUCUGUCUGCCCCUCUGGGUUAAAUGGAAAAAUUGACAUCUCACAUUUAAGGGAAUUUAUUGCAAAUUAAUGCAGUAGAGAUUUAUAUUUUCAUGUGAAAUAUCCUUUUAAUAGAGUAAAUAAUUGUUCCUCCCUCCAAUAUAUUUGUCUCAUUACUCUGGAUGCUCUAUAAUAGGAUUAUCUGUUAUAAACAUACACUUACAGAUCCAAAUAUAUGCACAGAUGAAAAAUAUCAAGCUUACAGGACAAGGUCAUCCCCCAAGCAUGGACACUCAAGGCCUUUUGGCUCUAUUUUCUCUAAGGAAAACUAAAGUCACAGUUGAACAAGGGAGCUUCCCUUGUCUCCUAGUUUCCACCAAGUGCUGGCUCUGACUCUGUUCUUUUGAUUUUUUUAGCGGCCUUCAGAGAAUUCUCAUGGAGGAGAGAAGGAAGUGGAUUGAAGAUGGGGUCGAGUUUCUAUCUGCUGUUUGACCCACGGAUUGCUGGAUAGACAUGACAUAUAGAAAACAGCUUGAUUCAUCCCACAGAAGUAGCAGAGAGUCCCAGGACCCAGCCUGCCCCACAGCAUCCCAGAGGGAUUUAUUCUCUUCUGAAGUUUGCAGAAGAAAUUGUUUUAUGAAUCAAUUUAAGACUAAUAAAUACAUAGAGUUCUAUUCCAAACAUAUUUUUUUUAAUUAUAAAAGAAGUACAUACCUCUUAAAAGGAUUAUGGGAGAAAGAGGAAUGUAGGAAAAAAAAUAAGACAGAAAGUACAGGUAAGAGUGCUGAUUUUAGAAUCAGGGCCAUACGGACUAGAAUCAGCCUUACUUGCUGUAUACACUUGGGUGAGUUACUUCACAUUGCUGAGUGCAUUCUUCUCAUCUGCAAAAUGGGAACAACCUCUCUGUCUGUCAUGUGGUAAGGGUUUGCUAAAGUGUAUUUUGUAAAAGCACUUAGAAAAAUUCUUGGUAUAGAAUAGUGUUACCAUAAUACAGGUGAGGUAAGUGUUUUUACUGCUGGUAGGAUAGCUACUGACUACAUCCUUUCCAGGCAAAUGGGACUGACUUUGAACCCCUUUUGGUUUGGGGGAGAAUUACUGGUAUUGGUAUUCCUAGCAUUAAGGCCACAUAAUAUUUGAAGAACUGGUUGCAAUCUCUUAAAAGUGUUAUUACCAAGAAAUAGAUUUUGGUUAUGUCUGUUUUCAUGGUACAGUAACCGAAACCCCUUAGUUUUUGUCUUAAGCUUAUAAACAUAUUUUAGUUUGUAAAAAGUGAUAAAAAAAAUACCCUGAGAAACAAUUAAAGUUCAUAGGAAAAUAAGAAAUCUUCACAGUAAUGUUUCAUUGAAUCAUCACAUUUUUUUUUCCUGAAAUACCAAUGAAGAAUGGCAGUUUUGAUAUGUAAAACAGUAGUUAGUCUUUAUGUGGAUAACACUUUUAAAAGCCUAGAAAUAUUUCACAUUUGAAGAAAAACACUUGUUUCCCGUGUUGAAUCUGAUUAAAAUUCAAAUCUAUCUUAGCAUCUCAUUACUAUUUGAAAAAAGCAACCUUCACGCUUAAGGAGAACGGCUCGGAGUCCACAGGUCCGGUGGCUGCAGGCUCUGCCUCUGGCUGUCACUGUGCUGGGACCCCAGAGGACAGGGCCACAGCUACAUCCUUGUUAAAACAGUCAUGGCGGGAAGACUGGCCCCGAGUUUCCUGCCUUUCCCCUCUCCCAUCCCGACAUUGUUUCAGCUGCCAGAUCCUCAAUAUUUUCUCUCCAGCAAGGGAAAGGGAAGGGCAAAAAUGACUUUGAAAGAAUAACAUUUCUUUCUAUGGACUUAAAUAGAACACUCAACACAAAACAUCCUGUGCUUCCUUUUCAUGGAUAACGUGCUGCUUGUCGCCGUGAGUGAACUAAAAAGCAGGGCUGGGUGUUGAGAGAGUUGGUGUUGGAGCUGCCAGCUGGGCGGUGAAGAAAACGCCCCUUGGGUAUUUUAAGGUUCGCCCUGCCCUCUCCUGUACACUCCCAUCUCCUUAUCCCGUAGUGUCUUGUCUCUUCUCCAUCGGAGUUAACACCUUUGAACAUAGUUUAGUACUUUUUUUUUUGGUUUAUUCUCCAACUGCUUAGAUUGUAAUGGCCAUAACGGGAACUCCACGAGAGUUAAUAUCUUCCUGUUUGCUGUUGGAUUACUUGUUCUAAAAAGAGUGCCCGGCAUGAAGUGGACACUAAAUAUUUGCAGGAUAAGCGAAUGAAUUAGUUUCUCCCUCAACGUCUUUUCCGGUACGAGUGGUAUCUAUAGUUCCUCAGUAUCUUUCCCUACAGGACUCUUUGGGUAUGAUUGGUACCAUGGGACAUAAAAAUAUUCUAUAAAUGUAUUUUUAUCUAGUAGAUACAUUUGAGAGUAUAGAUUUUUUUCAAGGUUUACACAAUUUAAUUGGUAAGGAAGAAAUAAAAGAGUUGGAUUAAAAAAGAAGCAUUCCCUUGUUACUUUAGGUUAUCUUAUUAUUUUAUUUUUCUUCCAACAACUCCCACACCGAACGUAUUUUUUUUGUUUAUUAUCUAUCUUUCCAUACUACAAUAUAAAAUUUUUCCCUUUUUGAUUGUAAUUGACAAAAAAAUCAUAUAUACUUAAGAUGUACAUCAUGUUCUGAGAUACAUAUACGUUGUGAAAUGAUUACUAUAAUCAAGCUAAUGAAUAUAUUCACCACUUCACAUACUUAUAGCAUUUAAAUUCUUGUACUUAGAAAUGUUUUAUAGGAGCACAAAUCAAAAACACUCCUAAAUAAAAAAUAUGCUUAGUAUCUCACUGCCAGCAACAGAUUAAAAUAGUUAAGUAAACACCUUUCUAGACAAUUUCUUGAUUUCUCUAUACAUUAAUGCAUUUUUGAAAAUAAAAAAGUUGGCAAUACCAUAUAUACUAUUUUGUAACCUGCUGUUUUACUUAAUGGAAGACAGGAUUUUGUGUAUUUUGUUUACUACAGUAGUCCCAUUUAUUACCCCAGUGCCUGAUACACAGUAGACAACCAACACAUAUUUGCUGAACAUGCAAAUGUUCGGAUGAGUGUGUUUGGUAUAGACUGUAUCCAGGUCUGGCCUUGACUGUAUAUGGAGCCCAUGGCAUGAUUGGUCAGUAAGACUUUGGUACUUCUGAGGAGGAUGUUGGAUGGAGAGAUAGAAAGGGAAACAAGAUGACCUAUAAGGUAUUAAAUUGUAAGUUUUUCAUUCAUAGUUAAAAAGACAUCUCAUUCAUUUUAUAUAUAUAUAUAUAUAAUAUACAUAUAUUACAUAUAUAUUCCUCAUUUAAAGAGCUACCUGUUUAAUGACAGUUUGGAUUUACAACUCACUGCUUGGACUUAUGACCCAUCUUUUUUUGUACAGUUCUGUACAUCUUGUUUAGAGAACAUCAAUGUCUUUUUCAUAUAGUACUAUAAUUUUUGGUGAUUGUACUGUAUAGUACUGUGGUUUUGUGUUCUGUUAUAUACACUGUAGUGCAUAUAAGAGUUAUGGAAAUAAAAGCAAAGUGAUCACAUUGGAGUUUCCUUUGACCAUUACUUCAUUCUGAAUAUUGUAAUGU